UACGUAGGGUGCGAGCGUUAAUCGGAAUUACUGGGCGUAAAGGGUGCGCAGGCGGUUUUGUAAGUCAGAUGUGAAAUCCCCGGGCUUAACCUGGGAAUUGCGUUUGAAACUACAAGACUAGAGUGUGGCAGAGGGAGGUGGAAUUCCAUGUGUAGCAGUGAAAUGCGUAGAGAUAUGGAAGAACAUCGAUGGCGAAGGCAGCCUCCUGGGUUAACACUGACGCUCAUGCACGAAAGCGUGGGGAGCAAACAGGAUUAGAUACCCUGGUAGUCCACGCCCUAAACGAUGUCAACUAGUUGUUGGGCCUUACUAGGCUUGGUAACGAAGCUAACGCGUGAAGUUGACCGCCUGGGGAGUACGGUCGCAAGAUUAAA
rnacentral:rRNA from 1 species